rnacentral:rRNA from 1 species
UGAGGAAUAUUGGUCAAUGGACGCAAGUCUGAACCAGCCACGUCGCGUGAAGGAAGACGGCCCUACGGGUUGUAAACUUCUUUUAUACGGGAAUAAAGUGCCCCACGUGUGGGGUUUUGCAAGUACCGUAUGAAUAAGGAUCGGCUAACUCCGUGCCAGCAGCCGCGGUAAUACGGAGGAUCCGAGCGUUAUCCGGAUUUAUUGGGUUUAAAGGGUGCUCAGGCGGGAUAUUAAGUCGGCGGUGAAAUUUUGCGGCUCAACCGUAAAAGUGCCUUCGAAACUGGUAUCCUUGAGUGUGGAUGAGGUAGGCGGAAUUUGUGGUGUAGCGGUGAAAUGCAUAGAUAUCACGAGGAACUCCGAUUGCGCAGGCAGCUUACCAAGCCAUAACUGACGCUCAAGCACGAAGGCGUGGGGAUCAAACAGGAUUA